CUUCGGGGUCGCAGAAGAGGCCUUGGGAGCAGACUGGAGCACCCCGUUGUGGGCGUUGUCGUCGCCACCAUUUUGGGGAAUGUUUCCAGUGCUAUAAUUGCGAUCAGUUUGGGCAUCUUGCGAAGAACUGUAGGAAGCCACCACGAACUCAGGUUGCAACACCAGCAGCAGCAGUAGCACCAGCAGUGGCAACGAGGAACUGUUACGGCUGCAACCAGCCGGGUCACAUAUACAGAAGAUUGUCCGAGGAGAGGCAAUGCGGCACUUCCACCACCACCGAAGCGUCUAGCCAUCGCUCCACGUGUCUUUGCAGUUGGAGAUCCCCAGGGAGCUGAGCCGAUAUCGGGUGAGACCGAUGAGCAGGAGUGAUUUUUCGGACCGGUGCUAUUGGGCUUUUGGGCUUCUAUCGUUUUAUCGAUUUUAUCGUUAUCGGGCCUCUAGGCCUUUGGACUUUUAUCGUUAUGGUAUUUCGUAUUUUGGAUUCUCGGUUUAUGUCGUACCUUAUGUUUCGGAUUUUAUUUUAUAUUAUGGAAUUCAUGCGUGGAUGUGGACUUUCAAAUAUUUAUAUAUGGAUAUUUAAGAUA